UACAGAGGGUGCGAGCGUUAAUCGGAAUUACUGGGCGUAAAGCGUGCGUAGACGGUUUUGUAAGUCGGAUGUGAAAUCCCCGGGCUCAACCUGGGAAUUGCAUUCGAGACUGCAAGGCUUGGGUGCGGAAGAGGGAAGCGGAAUUUCCGGUGUAGCGGUGAAAUGCGUAGAUAUCGGAAGGAACAUCAGUGGCGAAAGCGGCUUCCUGGUCCAGCACCGACGUUCAGGCACGAAAGCGUGGGGAGCAAACAGGG
rnacentral:rRNA from 1 species